GACCGCGACCGCAGCGGUGACAACGAGGGGACAACGUCCCUCCUCCUCGUCCCCCAGCCCGGUCCCGGCGCAGCAGCGGCGGCGGCGGCGGCGCCGGCAGGGCCCGUUACUGCGGCGCCUGCGGCAGUUCGUCAUGCCCCUCGUUAGCGCCCGCUCCUCCCGCCCCAUCCGGCCCCCCCGGCGCUUCGCGGCCGAAGGGGACACCUUGGGGACACGGCCGCCGGGCGGGGACGGGCCCACGGCCACCGGGGACGAGGCGGCGGGCGGCGGUGACGAGGCGGCGGUCAUCGGGGACGAGAUGACGAAGCCUGGGGACGGCCCGAUGACCCUUGGGGACGGCCCGAUGACCCUUGGGGACAUCCCAGUGACCCUUGGGGACAUCCCAGUGACCCUUGGGGACGUCCCGAUGACCCUCGAUGAUGUCCCGAUGACCCUUGGAGACAAGCCAGUGACCCUUGAUGACAUCCCAGCGCCCCUCGAUGGCAUCUCGAUGGCCCUUGGUGACAAACCGGCGACCCUCGUUGACGUCCCCGCGACCCUCGUUGACGUCCCCAUGACCCUCGAUGACAUCCCGAUGACCCUCGGUGACAUCCCCAUGACCCUCGAUGACAUCCCCAUGACUCUUGACAAGCCAGCGACCCUCGGUGACAUCCCAGCGACCCUCGGUGACAACCCAACGCCCUUCGGUGACAACCCCACGACCCUCGGUGACAUUCCAGUGCCCCUCGGUGUCAACCCAACGCCCGUCAGUGACACCCCAAAGACCCUUGGUGACAACCCAGCGCCCCUUGGUGGCAUCCCAGCGCCCCUCGGGGACAACCCAACGACCCUCGGGGACAACCCAACGCCACCCGGUGACACCAAGCCACCCCCAGGUGACACCAGGCCACCCUCAGGUGACAACCCCGCGCCACCGCGGGCCGGUGACAAAGGGACGUCCUCCGGGCGCCGCUGGCCGCCGGCCUCCUCUUCCUCGCCGCCUUCCUCCUCCUCGCCACCGUCCCCGGCGGUGGCACCGGUGGCCGUCCCCCGCCGGGCCAUCCUGCGCGAGGCCACCUUCCGCUGGACCUCGCUGCGGCGCGACGGGGACGCCGCGGGGACGCUCAGGGACCCUCAAGUGGCGCUUGGGGACACCACGGGGACACCUGGGAACCCCACGGUGGCAUCUGGGGACGCCACGGGGACGCUUGGGGACACCACAGUGGCGCCUGGGAACCCCGCGGUGACACUUGGGAACCCCGCGGUGGCGU
rnacentral:lncRNA from 1 species